rnacentral:rRNA from 1 species
AACGAACGCUGGCGGCAUGCCUAACACAUGCAAGUCGAACGAGACCCCUGACUUCGGUUGGCGGGUCUAGUGGCGCACGGGUGCGUAACGCGUGGGAAUCUGCCCUUGGGUUCGGAAUAACUCAGAGAAAUUUGAGCUAAUACCGGAUGAUGACGAAAGUCCAAAGAUUUAUCGCCCAGGGAUGAGCCCGCGUAAGAUUAGCUUGUUGGUGGGGUAAUGGCCUACCAAGGCGACGAUCUUUAGCUGGUCUGAGAGGAUGAUCAGCCACACUGGGACUGAGACACGGCCCAGACUCCUACGGGAGGCAGCAGUGGGGAAUAUUGGACAAUGGGCGCAAGCCUGAUCCAGCAAUGCCGCGUGAGUGAUGAAGGCCUUAGGGUUGUAAAGCUCUUUUACCAGGGAUGAUAAUGACAGUACCUGGAGAAUAAGCUCCGGCUAACUCCGUGCCAGCAGCCGCGGUAAAGUCGAAUAUCG